AUGAAGGCCUCCAUCAAGUUCCGCGACGACGACCGGCCGCUGCUGCGCGCCAAGGUGCCCAUCGGCGUGCUCGGGCUGCCGUUCCUCUCGGGCGUCUCGGCCGGCGGCGACGCCGAGGACCUCCGCUUCGAUCUCUCCACCGCCUUCCCCUCCGGCCCGGGGCUCCGCCUCUCGUACCGCCCCAACGACCCGCUCCAGCCCUUCGCGCUCUCCAUCCGCACGGGCCUCGGCGCGCUCGGCUCUCCCGUCCGCGCCCCCUUGGCGCUCUCCGCCGAGUUCAACCUCCUCUCCUCCAACCCGCCCGCCUUCUCGCUCCUCUUCAAGCCCCGGCUCGGCGACUUCUCCCUCGCCAACUCCGUCCGCUCGCCGCCCUUCCCCGACACCCCCGCGCUGCCGCCGCCCCACAAGCUGGCCGACCUCGCCAACGGCGACGACCACGACCAUGAGGGCCACAAGGAGUUCUCCCUCAACGGGAACGGGUUCGCGGCGGACGUCACGGCCGCCGGGACCACCGGCGGAGGGGUGGGCAUGCUGCUGUCCGGGAUGCGCCUCACGACCAGGAGCAUGCUGCCGCUGUGGAACAGGGCGAGCCUGAGGUUCCAGUGGGGGCUGCGUGUGCCACCAGAGCUGAAGGCCGCGCUCGCUGACGAUGGAUACGGGCGGAAGGCGGGGAGCCUGGCUGUCAGCAAGCUGCCGCUGCUCGUCAUGAACAAGAUCACAAUUGAGCACACACCACGCCGGCAUCCCAAGUCUGAAGAGGACAAGAAGGGGAAGAGCGCGCCUGUAGCCCAGGGAGAGGAAUUCUCAUUGAUGAAGAGGCAGCUGGAGGCCCUGAACGAUGAGAGCAUCAUGCUGCGGCACACUGUGGAGGGCCUGCGCGCUGAGAUCGGGGUCAGCCGAGCUAUCUCAGUUCCCAGCAAGGGCGACGCUCGAAGGAUGCCGGCAACGUCGCCGCCUCUGCAAAAUCCUUUCCCCGUGAAGCCUGAUCUCCAUGGAAAUGGGAAGGAGCUGGUGGCCAGUGGACCGAAUGAUGCCAGCGAGGAGCUGAAGAAGGCACUCGAGGCCCGGAGGAAGUGA
rnacentral:rRNA from 1 species